AUUGAACGCUGGCGGCAGGCCUAACACAUGCAAGUCGAACGAGUGGCGGACGGGUGAGUAAUGUCUGGUAAACUGCCUGAUGGAGGGGGAUAACUACUGGAACCGGUAGCUAAUACCGCAUACCAUAGGAUGUGCACAGAUGGGAUUAGCGAGUAGGUGGGGUAACGGCUCACCUAGGCGACGUUCCCUAGCUGGUCGGAGAGGUUGACCAGCCACACUGGAACUGAGCCACGGUCCAGACGCCGAGGGGAGGCGGCAUGGGGGAAUGUUGCACAAUGGGCGGAAGCCUGAUGGAGCCAUGCCGCGUGGAUGAAGAAGUCCUUCGGGUUGUAAAGUACUUUCAGCGGGGAGGCGUUACCCGCAGAAGAAGAACCGGCUAACUCCGUGCCAGCAGCCGCGGUAAUAC
rnacentral:rRNA from 1 species